rnacentral:rRNA from 1 species
ACUCCUACGGGAGGCAGCAGUGGGGAAUAUUGCACAAUGGGGGAAACCCUGAUGCAGCCAUGCCGCGUGUGUGAAGAAGGCCUUCGGGUUGUAAAGCACUUUCAGUAGGGAGGAAGGUAGUGUAGUUAACACCUGCAUUAUUUGACGUUACCUACAGAAGAAGCACCGGCUAACUCCGUGCCAGCAGCCGCGGUAAUACGGAGGGGGUUAGCGUUGUUCGGAAUUACUGGGCGUAAAGCGCACGUAGGCGGACUAUUAAGUUAGAGGUGAAAUCCCAGGGCUCAACCCUGGAACUGCCUUUAAUACUGGUAGUCUUGAGUUCGAGAGAGGUGAGUGGAAUUCCGAGUGUAGAGGUGAAAUUCGUAGAUAUUCGGAGGAACACCAGUGGCGAAGGCGGCUCACUGGCUCGAUACUGACGCUGAGGUGCGAAAGUGUGGGGAGCAAACAGGAUUAGAUACCCUGGUAGGUGACAAU